rnacentral:rRNA from 1 species
UACGUAGGGUGCGAGCGUUAAUCGGAAUUACUGGGCGUAAAGCGUGCGCAGGCGGUUGUGCAAGACAGCGGUGAAAUCCCCGGGCUUAACCUGGGAAUGGCCUUUGUGACUGCACGGCUAGAGUGUGUCAGAGGGAGGUAGAAUUCCACGUGUAGCAGUGAAAUGCGUAGAUAUGUGGAGGAAUACCGAUGGCGAAGGCAGCCUCCUGGGAUAACACUGACGCUCAUGCACGAAAGCGUGGGGAGCAAACAGG